ensembl:snoRNA small nucleolar RNA SNORA17
CCUGUCCCUAGAGGUGUUUCAGGUGUAGCUGCUGUGACACAUAUGAGUCAGGAGGUGGCAGAGAGAAGAAAGGCUAUGUAGGCUCAGUGUUCUGAGCUGUGAACUUCUGAAUGAUUAGUUGCCUAACACU